UACCUGAACUCUUUCUGGUGGAUUACGA
rnacentral:piRNA from 1 species